rnacentral:rRNA from 1 species
CGUACAGGAUUAGAGACCCUGGUAGUCCUAGCCUUCAACGAUGGAUGCUGGAUGUGGGUCCAUAGCGCUCCGUGUCUGAAGUGUACGCGCUUAGCAUCCCGCAUGGUGGACUACGGCUCUGCAAGGUUAAAACUCAAACGUAUUGACCGGACCCCGCACAAGCACCGGAGUGUCGUGUUUUAAUCUCGGUGUUACGCGUAAGAACUUUACUUGGGUUGACAUCUAGGUGGUAGGUGAAGCGAAAGCGCGACCGACCCUUCGGGGAGCUUAGACAGGUGCUGUCAUGGCUGUCGUCAGCUCGUGCCGUGAGGUGUCGGGUUAAGUCCCGUAACGUGUGCAACCCUUGCCCUCCGUUAUACGUGUCAGAGGGGACUGCCGACGGUUAGCCGGAGGAAGCUGGGGAUGACGUCAAGUCAGCAUGGCCUUUAUAUCCAGGGCUACACACACGUUACAAUGGCCAGUACUAAGGGCAGCGAAGCCGCGAGGUGGAGCGAAUCCCAGCAUAGCUGGUCGUAGCUCGGAUUGCAGCCUGCAACACAGCCUGCAUGAAGCUGGAGUUGCUAGUAACCGCGCGUCAGCCAUAGUGCGGUGAUACGUUCCCGGGGUUGUACACACCGCCCGUCACGUCAUGGGAGUC